GUGCCAGCAGCCGCGGUAAUACAGAGGGUGCAAGCGUUAAUCGGAAUUACUGGGCGUAAAGCGCGCGUAGGUGGUUAGUUAAGUUGGAUGUGAAAUCCCCGGGCUCAACCUGGGAACUGCAUUCAAAACUGACUGGCUAGAGUAUGGUAGAGGGUGGUGGAAUUUCCUGUGUAGCGGUGAAAUGCGUAGAUAUAGGAAGGAACACCAGUGGCGAAGGCGACCACCUGGACUGAUACUGACACUGAGGUGCGAAAGCGUAGGGAGCAAACAGGAUUAGA
rnacentral:rRNA from 1 species